rnacentral:lncRNA from 1 species
AGAUAUCACCGUUUGAGCUUCUGGCAACUUCUAACAUGGUCACCGAGGUCAUGGGGCACACCUAUUUAGCCUGAUCAAAACUUCUCAAGCCUUUCUGUCCCAGCUCCACAGGUGCCCUCCCCCCUUUAUCAAGUUACUAAAAGGAUGGGUAACCUGGGUGAAGUGGAAAAUAAAAUCAUAUCAAUGGCUUAGGAGCUCUGCAAAUGUCUGCACCUGUUUUACGGUCACAGAUGUAUAAGUCCUGAGGACAAAGAGUGGAGAGAGAAUUUUUUUGGAAAGAAUCUUUGGAGAAGACGAACUUAGAAAUAAAGAUUAUCAAAGUGUC